AGAAAGGCAACACAAGAGUUAUUCUGUUUGACAAACAUAACAAACACAAUAAGCUGAAUAUAAAACUUAUUUUUUGUGAGUAGAAUCAAUACUUGGAAAUGUCUUUGCGAAGGACGAGUAAGUAAAAUGUGAGUAAGGAAACGAUCAGAAUGAGGAGUGUGACACUUGAGAAUGUAAUUGAGUGAUGAUGUAUCGGCAUGUUGUGAGGUAAAAUGGUAGAAUCAAUGUAUAUCUCCAUUCUCCUAUCAAAUGAUUGUUGUGUCAUUGUCCACUUAACAGAGUAUGUGAAGCCAACAUCAACUUCCUUGUCUUCUGUAACGUCUGUAAAUGAAUUUGCCAUUUGUAGAAUGACCUUAAUAACUUGAUCCUUAUUGUAAAAAACCUCGAAAUCAAAAUGUUUGUAAAGGGAAUACACUGUCUUGAUCCUUCCAUUAUAAUUUCCGUCAUUUCUCAUUCCUAUAAAUGCCCAUAUUGGCAAGUCAUCAUAGUGCAAUUGCAUAAAGUAGUUCUUCUCUAUCGCCCUUCUGAAAUUAGAAACAUCUAUUUUACUCAGUGUCUUAUUGCAUAAUACUUCAAAAUCUUUAUCCACAAGGAAUUCAAGCUUAUAUGGAGUUGAAACAAGACGAUCUCCAUUCAACAUUUCUCCUAAAUUAAGCUUUUUCUCUUUAACAACAUCUGUUAUUAGAUAAACAAUAUGGAAGGAUUGAGUAAGUAUAAAUGGAGAAGUUAAAAUGACUGAAAGAGAACAAAAGAAAGACCCAACACAUUCAUGAAAGAAUUAAGUACCUUGAGAACAAAAUGGAAGUUCAUAAUAAGCAUAUGUUUCUCUGAAAACAAAGUAAACAAGAAUAAGAAGGAACACACACAAAAAUAAAUAGAAAGGAAAAAUACUUUGGAGGAAAUGUGUCUAACCUAGAAUUAAAGUAUGGCCCAAUUUUGUUGGCAUAGAAGGGGACUGUAUCACCUUUACUGUAGCGAUGAUCAUUGGCAUCUGAUUCUACUUGGAUUCCAAGGUAGAUCAGUAGAAGCAUAAGAAAAGGGUAUUUUCGUAACUUUACCAUUCCUGUUGAUCUAUAAAUAAAAGUGAAAAAACAUGAGCAACUGUCAUACCAAAAAGCAGACAUAUCAUAACGAAAGCAUCUUGCAGGUAAAUACAAAACUGGUUCUCAUGAAGCCAUUUAAGUUGCACAAGUAUACCAUAUUGUUUUACAUCAAAACAUUACAAGAAUCUUUGUAGAUUUUGGAAAAGUUGAUGAUUUGACUAAAAAGAAUUUUGGGUUUUGUAUGUUAUAGAAUAUUUUGGUUGCCUAGUUUCUCAUUGUUCCAUAAACAAAUAAACAAAUUGCUCAAUCUGCUAUGCGUCACACAAUUAGGCGUUUAACUAUACUUCUUUCAAAGCAAUGGAGUACAGGAUAAAUGAAUGUCAUUGUUGCGAAGGAAACAAAAGCCAAGUUAUAAGGUGAAUCCUAGUAUUAAGAUAUGAACAAUCAAACAUAAGUAUUAUCCAAAAAAAAAAAAAACAAUUCAGUUGUAAUUUACUGGAGAGCUAACAGAGACAACAUAAUCAAACAUCAAACUAUAAUUGUCAAGUAAAUACCAAGAACGUGAGAUGAUCAGUGAUGGAGAAAGAGAGGUGUUUUUACAGUGAAGGAGAAGGAUGCGGUGAUGGAAAAGGUCUUAACUGGUUGCAAACCAGAAGUAUUGUUGGGGAUGGUGAGAGGACUUUGACUUUGAGUCUUCCACUCUCAUCAACCGACUGUUAAGUUCACUUGUCUCAUAUGUUGGUCGUUAUUUGUUCAAUAAUUUUGAGGAAGUUACAACUUAGAAAUGUUCUUUUUUUUUUCUUUUUUUUUUAAUAUUUUGAGUAAAUUACACGAAUGGUCCCUAUGGUUUGGCAUAACUUACAUGUUUGGCCUCUAACUUAUUUUUUAUCUUGGAAGAUCCAUAAUAUUUGUUUUUUCUUUCGUGUUUGGUCCUGAGCUAAAAAGACUAUUGUGCCACUUGAUUUAUAGGCAAAAAAUAGUUUUUCAAAAAGCCAUGAAUUCUUGAAUUUUCCAAAAAGCCAAUAAGCACUUUGAGAACCAAUUCCAAACACUCACUCAAGACCCGAAAACAAGUUAUGUCUAAGUAUCUGCUGCUAAUUUGUACAACCUAGAUCUGAACAAGAGCCUUAGUGUCGCUGUCAUCGUUAUUGUAACAACACCAGAUCCGCCGUCGGAGAAAACAUACAAGGUUUGUCACCCACCUGUUCGCCGUUGAAGUAAACCACUAGAGCAAGAAAAGGAGAAAGAAGGGGGNNNNNNNNNNNNNNNNNNNNNNNNNNNNNNNNNNNNNNNNNNNNNGGGGGGAGCCUUGAAGAAUCGAUAUGAGAUCUAGGUUUUAGUUGUUCAUUGUUUCGUUGAUGAGGCUGUUGUGUGCUAGCAAUGUUUCGAAGCAGGAAAUCCAAGAAUUUAGGGAUGGAUUUAUGGUUAUGAUUUUUAGUCUAGUUUCGAUAUUUUUAUUACAAUAUGAUUGGAUAGUAUGAUUAAAUUGAAUGUCAAGUGUGAAUGAAUUGAUUUUAGAUUUGAUUUCCUUUUUGAUUUAAUUUUCCAUGGUUGUCUCCUCCGUUGCCGGUUGACGAGCUUUUCAUUAUUAUUUUCAUUUGAAAACCCAAAAACAAUAUCUGUCCAGGUAUAUGAUGUUGAUUUAUGCAACCUAGAUUUGAUUUUGGUUCUAAUUUUAGAUUUGAUUUGCAUUUGGGAUAUGAUUUAUGGUUUUGAUUUUAGAUUUAACUUUUGGUUUGAAUGGAUUCAAUGUGGUUUUUAUUUUUCCCGAUGUGAGAGAUAGUGGUUAUUUGCUUCGAUAGUAUAGGUGAUGGUGGUGUAGAUGUUGGUAGUUUCUUCUGGUGGCAUUUUACUCCGUCAAGAGAAGAAACUGGGUGAAAGACUAGAAGGUAUAAAGGGACGAUGUUAAUUUUCUAGAUUAAUCAUAAAUUUAUAAUAAUAAAUUAUAAAUGAAAUACAUAAAUAAUAAAAUUAAUUAAAAGUCAGUUAAUAAGAGACCAAUAGUCUUUUUAGGUUAGACAAUGACAAACCUACAACAAAAACAAACAAUAGAGACCUUCUGAGUUAAAAAAAAUAGUUAAGGACUAAAUGCAUAAGUUACCCCAAACCAUAGACCAUUCGUGUAAUUUACUCUAAUAUUUUUAAAGGAAAGCCCUAGAAAAAACCUACCUAUUAUCAUUCCAUGCUAAAAACAACCAUUAUUUUAUUUUUUUUGUACAAUAAAACCAUUUUAUUUGUUCAUCAUGCUUAAAAUAAUGAUUGGUAAUUGUGACAUCCCCAAAUUUCUCGGCCAAGAAAGGAUGUUUUAGUUAUACUUAUUUUAAAACAUAGUUUAUUUAUAAAUGUGGAAUUUGUACGAUAAAAGUACAUACGAAUAAAUGUUUUUCAUUGACUGAUUAAAGCUUGGGAUGUCAUAACUAAUACAAGAAACAUAAGAAUAAACGUAAUCAUUACAGGCCUUACACAUUUAAUGGUUUAUAUUUCCUUUAAUCUCUCAUCAGAUCCGAACAUCAAGUACCUUCGUAUCGAUAUAUGUGAUGCAAAGAAACUGAGUGGGUUAGGUUGGAAAACCAGGUAAGUACCACUAGUACAAAAAUGACAUAUGGCCAGGCUUUUUGGAAAUAGGGUUGUCACGAAUUUUGUUAAUUGCAUCACUAAAGGUCAUUAAUCAAAUUCCCAUAAUGUUUUCGUUACAUAUCAACUAAACAUCGUCACUAUUGCAAACUAUUUUCACACAUUUUAUCAUUAUUUUACAUAAAAAGUUUGACAAAUACUUGUCAAUAGUCACAUUAUAUUAUUGUGACUGUAAGUAUUUUAUUAUGACAUUUAAAAAAACAUGUGAUUGUAAGUGUUUUAUGAUAACAGUUAAAUUUCAUAUGUACGUCUAAAAUUAAUGAUUUUGAAUAUAUAAAAAAAUAACAAGUGACCGGAAGUAUUUUAUUAUGAUAUUUAAAAAAACAAAACAUGUAAGUAAAAGUAUUUUAUAGUCACAUUUUAAUUUUUAUGUGUCUAAGUCCAUAACUAUAAUUUGUAUGUACUUGAACUAAUAACAACACAGUCCUUUUGGGUUGCCCUCAAACCUAGCAACUAGACAAUGAAAUUAUGAAAGGAGAGAGAUUAAUUUAUUAUAAGAUUAAUAAAUUAAUAUAAAUGAUUUAUUAAUAUGUUAUGAGAUUAAUAUAUUAAUUUGAAAUCAUAAUGUUUGACUAAUAGUUAGCAAAAAAUUAAUUGGAAUUGAUUUUGGGGUUAAUUGUAUUAAUUAUAAAGUACAUGGACUAGUUUGCAAUUAUCAAAUAGUUGGAUGGAAGGUUCCAUAACCUCCUUGGAGGAGGUAGACAAAAUCAAUAGGGGAAACCCUAAUGAUUUCGUCCAAGUGCCUUGGUUUGCUUCUGGAUAAGCUUGGGCCCUAAGCAAAGGAACAUUAGGGUUUUCCCUUAAACCCUAGCUGCCUCAGCUAUAUAAGGAGCCUCAUGGCUCCUGAAUUUCGAUCAUCCCUACACCUGGAGAGACCCUAGCCAAAAAUUGCAUACUCUCUCCUCAUCCUCUCUCUAUAUAGUUUCCUUCUUGCUAGUUCUUGGGUAUGAUUCCAUUAGAGGCAUUAUAGUUGUGGUGUUAAGCUUCCAAGAAGACCAAGAUCAAGGAUUACCAAUUGUUUGCUAUAUCAAUUGAAAGGCAUGUGAUUCUAAAACCCUAAUUAGUUAUUUUUGAAAAUAGCCUCCUCUCAUAGGGUUCUAGUUUUGCAAUUCAAAGUUAUAUGUUCAAUAGUUAAAACAUAGAUCCAAAGUAGGUUACAUGUGAACUUAGGAAUUGUUUUUCUAGUUUAUUUGCUUUACUUAAAACUCAUCAAAGGUAUCAGAGCCAUUGGUUUUGUUUUAAAUUGAAUUGCUAUAAUAGUUGAAUUGCAACUUAAGGUUUAUAGCUAUUAAACCCUAAAGGCCAUGUAACACCCGUUUAUUUAUUAAGUUAAAUAAAUUAAUUAAUGAACGAAUGAUAGCCUAAAAUCAAUAAUUAUAUAGAAAGGUGUAAGUUUCGGGAUUUACUUUAUAAAGAUUUUUAGAAGACAGGGGUUUUUUGGUAUAAUUUGGGCAUAAUAUGAAAGGAUUUAUGGAAGAAGGGGCUAAAUAGUAAAUUUUGGACUCCAUUGGAGAACAAUUUUUAGAGGAGGGGCUAUUUGGUAAUGGUUGGACCUAAUAUGUGAGAAAUUAUAGAAGUCGGGGUUUAAAGGGUAAAUAUGGGAGUAAAUUUGAAAUUGUUCCUAAAGGGAGGGACCAUUAAUGCCAUUAUGGAAUAACGUUUGUGAGGGGUGUCGGGUAUAAGAAUGUCCCAUAACCCUAACCCUAGAAGUUGGAUAGAGUCGCCACCUUCCCUCUUUCAUCACUUUCGGUAGCCGCCGCUCUCACCCCUUCAAUCUCCGGCACCGCACCACCACCUCCAUUGAGGUCACUAGUCACCGAGUGCCGCCACAACGCUGUUGUCGAAAGUANNNNNNNNNUGUCGGAAGUUUUGAGCCGCCGAGAUCGAACCUCCAAACUGUGAUUGGAGUCCGCUGCCACUACUCUCCCUUCUCGCCAUCGUUGGUGUCAAAUCUGCCCGCCACUCCACCACUUGCAUCCUCCGACCGACGAUGUUAAGCAUGGAUGAGGAAGCCUCUAAGGCUUGGAUGGCAACAACCGGUUGCUGAUAUCGUUUAUCGCUACCCUAUCUUCUUCUACUCCCAACUCUUGACGCUGGCGUUGUGUGGAGCCGACAAACCACCGAAAUCGCCACUGCGAGCCUCCGCUGCCAGCGUGAAGGAAUCACCAUUGACCAAUGACUUGUUAAGCGGGACUGUUGAGAGGCACCGCCAAGAUCAAGAGGAGGCACUGCCAAACCCUAGCUGCCGCCAUAUCUCCCGACUUCCGUGCGCCAUGAUCGCCGCCAUGUUGCUACUGCUGUAGAACCUCCGUGUGCCACUGUGAGGUGUGUGGUUAUGUGCAUUCCCGAGCAAGAGUGUGUUGUGUGUUUUGAUGGCCGGAAAAUGGUGAAGAAAACCACCAUGGCUGCUAGCCAUGGUGGCUGCCGCCAUGUACCACCACCGACCACCACAAGGGUGGUUGUGGGUGUGUGUUAUUUUUAGUAUAGUGUGUGUGUGUUAUUAUGUGAGUUCAUUACAAUUGUAAAAAUUGGAAUAAUGAAAUGGAACUCAAACCACCACCGUAGGGUGGUGGCUGCCGCCUCCUACCCCACCAGCCGNGCCACCGGCCGCCCUGUCGGAUAGCGGUGUGCUUAGUUGUGUUGGGAUUGCUAGUUUGGGGAUGUUUGGUCAAGGGACUAAAACCUUAAUGGGCCCAAUGAGGCUUAAUGGACAUAAAAGCCCAAGCAUGUGUCUAAUGGGCUUAAUGGACCAUAAUGGAUCCAAGGACUUAGCUAAUGGGCCUAUUGGGCUAAGAUGGGUUGGAAACCCUAAUGCCAUGAAACCCUAAUUUUUGGGGAAAUAAUCGAAACACACGGGAAUUAUUAAUAACUUGGAAUAAUAAAUAAUAAUCAUUGGCAAGAUUAAUCUAAGCGAUAGUGGACUUAAUGGAUUAAGUCCUUAGAGGAUUAAGUCCUUAAUGGGUUAAGUAGGAAACUUAACCCUAAUCGUCACUUUAUGUGAAACCCUGAUUUCAGUUGGGUUUAUUAUUGUUUUUUGAUGAUCGGGUUAUUAAUGGGCCAUCCAGAGUCAAGAAAAUGGACUAGAAUAAUUUAAUGGGCCUAAGGUAAGUCCCAUGUAAGGGGUUAGGCCCAAUUUGGAAAAUUGGGCCAUAGAUGGGCCAUAGUUGGGCCUUAAUGAUUGUAUAAUGUUGGGUCUUAGAAUAAGACCAUGUAUAGGCCUGGGCACAAUUUGGAAAAUUGGGCCAUAUGUUGGGCUUUGAUUCCUAGUUGGAUUUGGGCCAAUGGAUUGGGCCUUGGGCUUAAAUAAGCCAAGCCUGGGGUAAUGUAGCAAUUAUCCAAGUACGUAUUAUGGUUAUGAGUUGGGAUCCAAUUAUUAAUUGGGUGUUGUUUUGGCGUGUUGACAAUUCAGGAAUCUGUCAUCCAGUAGCUGGGGUUGAGUCUGCGAGACUUCAGCAGUGUGGGGUUGAGUCUAAGGGACUUCAGCAGUGCGAGGUGAGUUACCUUCCAGUAGUGGUGGGGCUACGGCCACAAUGCCGGCCCACCAGUAGGAGUUGUAUGUUAGAUGAUUGUCUUUGUGAUAUCAUCUAGGCUUGCUACUACCUGAUAUGUUAUAUGCUGGCAUGAUAUGUUGUAUGUGAUAGUAGUAGAGUUCGGUUGUUAGGACCGAAGGGUAGUUCAGGCACCCAAGAUAUGUCUGACAGUAUGUGAUGAUAUGUUUGUAUGUUGGCAUGAUAUGUUAUAUGUGAUAGUGGUAGUAGGAGGGGAAUAGUCCCCAAGUUCGGUUGCUAGGACCGCAGGAUAGUUCGGACACCCCAGAUAUGUCUGAUAGUAUGUUUAUGUUAUGAUAUAUGUGAUAGUAGCAGUAGGGGUGAAAUAGUCCCUGAGGGUUGAUUGUUAGGACCGACGCGUAGGUCAGCACCCUAGAAUGGCUUGACAUGGGUAGGUCAGCACCUUAGAAUGGCUUGACACGGGUAGGUCGGCACCCCAGAAUGGGCGCACCGGGUAGGUCGGCACCCCAGAAUGGCCGUACCGGGAGACGGACACCCCAGAAUUGUCCGACAGUAUGUAUGCUAUGUGAUUGUAUGGUAUGUGGUAUGAUGGGGGAACUCACUAAGCUUUGUGAUUACGGUUUUCAGUUUUGGUUUCAGGUACUUCGUUUUCAAAGGAAAGGAGCCGGCUCGAUCGCAGCGCAUCACACUAUGUUUCCGCACAUGAGAUCCUUGGGGAUUACGCUCUGAUAUGUUUUUAUGAUCCUAUGUUUUGGAUUACUGUCGCUUGGGUUUUAACAUGAGACUUUAUUAUGAAUGUUUUUAUACUGAUGGUUUUAUGUAAUAACAUAAAUAAAAAUGAAAUUUUUGCCUGUAUUUUUGGGAUGUUACAGGCCAUGUUUUUCAUUUUUAGGGUUUUGGUUUUAGGGGUUUUCGAAAAACCCUAGCCUCCAUAAACCCUAAUCGAAAUUAGGGUUAGGGUUUUAAAAAAUCCUAGCCACCUUCCUUAAAUUUCGAAAUUGCCUUAGGUUUUUAGGGUUUCUUGUUUGAAUAGUUGUUACAUAAUUGGAUUAAUUGGAUAAUUAUCCUAUACCCUAAAUUUUUGAAAUUGAGAGGGUUUAGGAUUAUGAUUAAAUUAAUUGUUUAUUUUACUUAGAUAAUCUUCCCAAUAUUUAAUAAAUUAAAAGUUAAUAGAUAAUUAUUAAAUCUAGUUUUUGGUUUAUUUUGAAUUUGAAAUUAAUAGUCUAAUUUUCGAAAAUUCAUUUAAACCUUAAAGUUUUAAAAAGUUUAAAACNNNNNNNNNAUAUAUAUAUAUAUAUAUAUAUAUUUAUAUAUAUUAUAAUUAAAAAUUAAAUAUUAUAUAUGUAUAAGAACUGGUCAGUAGAAUCGCUAGUAUGCCUCAUUCACGAAGCUAGUCUAUAAGGGGGUAUAACGAAACUUCCUAUAAAAUGGUAGUUGAAUGGGUGUCCACUCUCACCCACCGCUUCCUUGAUUAGUGGAGGGUCGUUAGCAGAACGGAUUUGAUAGGACAAGUUAAUCUCAUUAAAAGUAUAAUGUUAUUGGUUAAGUACUAGAACAUCAUUUUAUUACUUUAGGAAAAAUGUGAAUAGUAUGUUAACCCAAGAAAUCGCACUUGUAUAAGUCCUUAGUGGUGCGUGUGUGGUUAGCCGACACACUAAUUAGGACUAAUAAAGACUCGUAAUGGGUAUCUCAUGAUUAUCAUGGGGAGUCGGUUGUCAGUCAUGUGCAAAGAAUGCAACGCUACAUAGAGCGUUUGGUCAAGCUCAACGUACACUUUGAUGAGGAAUUGGCCAUUGACAUGGUCUUGAACUUAUUACUUGAUUGUUAUGGUUAGUUCAUCCUAACUUACCAUUUGAACAACAUCGAGCAAACAUUGGCCCAAUUACACAAUCUGUUGCAAACAGUUGAGGUAGGAAUGAAGGGUAAAAGUAUAGCCUCCACUCCUACUAGUUCUUGCAUCUUGGCUAUUGGACAGGGAAAGGGUAAAAAGAGGAACGGUCCUCCUAAGCAAAACUGGAAGGGCAAGGCCCAAGUUGGGUCAUUUAGCAGUGGCCUAAUGGCCAAGCCCAAUGUUGUCAUUCCCCAUGAUUCUGAUCCAAAGGAUGCCGAUUGCUUUUAUUGCAAUGACAAGGGGCACUAGAAAUGAAGGUGCCCGAAGUAUCUACAGGACAUUAAAGAUGGCAAGGUGAAGCCAUCUUUAGCAGGUAUUUACACUAUUUCUUUUAAUAACUCAUUAUCUUCUCGUUCUUAGGUCCUUGAUACCAGAUGUGGUUUUCACAUAUAUUCUAAUUUGCAUGGGAUAAAAGAAAGUGAGGAGGUGGAGCGAGGGAGGAUAAACUUGAUCAUGGGAAACAAAAAGUCCACACUAGUAACCAAGAUCGGAAUUCAUCAACUUUUGCUUAAUAAUGAUGUUAGAUUAGAUUUGUUGAAUUGUUGCUAUUCAUAUGAGAUGAAGAGAAACGUUAUUUCAUUUCAUGCAUUGUUAAAACACGGUUUUAAGUAUUCUUUUAACUAUUUGAAUGGUUUAAUUUUUGUUUAUAAGAAUGGCAUUUUUGUGUUUGAAGCUUUACCUUGUGAUAGUGUGUAUGAAACAGUGACUUGUGUUCAUAGCUUAGGUAAUAGUGUGUUUAAUAUUGACUUGUCUAAUAGUGUAGACAAGGCAUGCUUGUGGCGUUGCCGUCUUGGACACAUUAGCAAGAAACGCAUAGCACAACCCCAAAAGGAUGGAGUGUUGGAAUCAUUUGACCUAAAAUCAGAUGAUAUGUGUGAAUCUUGUCUUUUGGGAAAGAUGAAUAAAUCACCUUUCACGGGAUCUCGUGAAAGAUAUGAAGGUGUUGGAUUAGGUGUCUAAGCCCAUAACUAUAAUUGGUAUGUACUUAACCCGAGAGUAGCAUGGUCCAUUUGGGUUGCCUUCACUAGAGCAAUUUGAUAGGAUGGACUUUUGAGAAGAGAUUAUUUGUGAUUUAUUUAUAUAUUAUAAGUUCUAAUAUAUUAAUAUGAAAUUAUAUUAUUUAAUUAGUAUUGAUCAAGAAUGUAUUUGGAAUUAAUUUAGUGAUCAAAAGAGACUAAUUAAAUUUACGGGGACUGAUUAAGCAAAUCAAUGAUUAUUAUAGUGUGGGCCAAUGAUCCAUGGUUAUUUAGGAUGGGCUAAACCAAUAUGGAUAGUCCAUGGAGGUUUAACCCCUGGAGCCUACGUAAUAUUAAGGGUCAUGUGAAUUAGGGUUUGUAUGGAUGUAACCCUAGAUGUUACCACACUAUAAAAGGAACCUAUAGUCACCAAAAUGGGCUCUAUGCAUUCUAAGAAGAGUGAUAAAAGAUUUUGUGUGCUAAGUAGCCUCUCAUUCAAGUUCUCCUUUGUUCAUGGUGUUUGUGAACCAUUUGAGGCAUCACAUUUAAGGUGCUAAGUUCUUAAAAGCCAAAACUACAAGCUACAACAAAGAGGCAAUUCUAUAACUCACUUUUAUAUUGUUUAUGUCAAUUGUAUGGUAGUUGUAGGCUUAAUGCUUUGGAAACAAUAUUGCAUGUAUAAUUAGAGAAAACAUGGAUCCAAAGCAUUUAGGGUUGUAUGUGCACCAUACGAUGUUGUAGUAUACAAAACCCAACAGUGGUAUCAGAGCAUAUGAUUGUUUUCUGUUAUAUUUGAUGCAUGACUUAUUUUUUCCAAAGCUAAAAAACUGUUCUGACAGCACCUACUUGACGAGUACAUUCUUGGACUCAACGAGUAGGACAAAUUUUUCCUUGAACUCGAUGAGUCCAUAGUUGGGCUCGACGGGUUGGAUGACCAGACAACAUUUUUUCGGGAUUUUUGGACUGUUUUGGAUUAGGAUCAUUACCACAAAAUGUUUUAGUUCAUAAAAUUUGAUUUUGUUGGUAUGGUAAUGAUUAUACUCAUCUAAUCAAAAGAUAAUUUUCAAAAUUUCAAGAUUUGUAUUAGUUUAUUUAGUAGGAUAAUUUCUAGUAAAUUGUUGAUUUGAAUUGUCUUGACUUAUGAGUUUAACUAGAUCAAAGAUAAAUUAUAUGAUAAUUUCUAUUUGUUAAAAUAUUGAUCUAAAUAUUCUUUAAAGUCCUCAAUAACUUUUCCUCAAGUUAUGGAACAUGAAAAGUUUUUUCAUAAAAACCACAUUAAACUUAUAGGAAAUCAAAGGUUUUUCAAGAGUUACAAACUUGCCCUCAAGUUUUGGUAUUUGAUAAGUCUCAAAUUAAGAAACUCUUGUAAUUAAAAAGGUGUAACUCUUGGGUUAAAAAAUUUAAAAAAUUAAUUAAAUAGGUUUUGAUUUUGAAUUUUUUAUAUUUAGAACCUUGAAGUAAUUGAGUAGUUCAAAUUGCACCUUAUGGACUUUAUAAAAUUUGUAACAUCCCAAAAAUACAAGCCAAAAAUUUCGUUUUUAACUCAUUAAUAAAACCAUAAUUAUCUUUCAACAUAUAAAAAUCAUAAACGAUGUAUCUCAAGAAUAACAUAACAUCUGUCAAAUUUAUCAGAGUAUAAACAUCCCAGGCUGAACAAAUGGUGUGUGUACUGCAAACUUCCUGAGCUCCUCUUUUGAAAACUGAGUACCUGAAACUAAAACUGAAAACUGUAAGCACGAAGCUUAGGGAGUCUCUCCAAACUACCACAUACCAUACACAUAAUCACAUAACUUGGGCCUAGCCCACUGCAUCGGGCCCUGCCCGCCAUCGGACCGUAAACCGGUACACAUAUAAACAUAUCCACAAUGCAUAUAACAUAAACACAUAACAUAAAUAUAACUCUGGGACUACUCCCAACUGCAUCGGGACGAAUCCCGACAUCGGAUUACCCGACAUUGGACUCCUAUCCGGCAUCGGGCUCACCCCGGCAUCCGACCGCAUUGGGCAUCGGGCUCACCCCGACAUCGGGCUUACCCCGACAUCAGGCUUACCCCGACACAUACACAACACAUCAUAUAUAAAUAACAUAAUCACAUAAUCUUUAUCGGGCUUGCCCUAGCAUCGGACCAAAGCCCGGAACAUAUAACAUAUAAACUAGCAUACAUCGGGCUUGCCCCGAAACACAUAACACAUAGCAUAAUAACUAACAUACAUCGGGCUUGCCUGACAUCAGGCUUACCCCGGAACACAUAACACACAACAUGUAAAUUAACAUACAUUGGGCUUGCCUCGGCAUCAGACCGAAGUCUGGAACACAUAGCACAUAUCAUAUAACCUCAAUGAAUCACAAAGACAUCACACAUACUUAACUACUUCUCGGGACCGCCCCGACGUCGAACUGAAGUUCGGAAACAUAUAAACUGCAUCGGGCUUACCCCAACAUACUACAAUACUUAAACGGGUCGACAUUGUGGCCCUAGACCCGUUCCUACUGGAAGAGGACUCACUUCACACUGCUGAAGUCCCGCAGACCAAACCAUAGCUGCUGGAUGAGAGAUUCCCGGGUCUGUCAAUAUCAAAAUAACACCCAAUUAAUAAUUGGGUUCCAACUCAUAACCAUAAGUCCAUGCUUGGGGUAAAAGACUACUUUACCCCUAUCUUAUCUUGACUCAAGCCCAAAGCCCAAUCCAAAGGCCCAAAAGUCUAAUAAUGGACCAAGGCCCAACUAUGGCCCAUCAAUGGCCCAAUUUUCCCAAUUGGGCCCAAGUCUCUACAUGGUCUUGAUCAAAGGCCGAAUCAGUCAUUCUUGGUCCAACGCUUGAGAUUCUCAUAGUCCAACAUCUCAUAAUGAUCAAGGCCCAGACUAUGGCCCAUCUAUGGCCUAAUUUUCCAAAUUGGGCCCAAACUCCUUACGUUGGCCUUACGCUAAGGCCCAAACUCCUUAAAGUAUUCUAGUCCAUUUGCUUGCUUUUGGAUGGUCCAUUUUUAUCCCAAUCACCAAGGCCCAAUAGGAAGGCCCAACGCAAAGUCCAAGUGAAAUUAGGGUUUCACAUAAAAUGGCAAUUACGGGUAAGUAUUUCUCACUUAACCCAUUAAGGACUUAAUCCAUUAAGUCCUUUACUCUACUAGAUAAGCGAUAUGUGAUAAUUGGGCUUAAUACACAAUCCAAUACCAAUGGAUCAAAAGUGGGUCCAAAUAAGACCAAGGCCCAAAUACUCAUAAUUAGGGUUUUCCACCCAAACAUAGCCCAAUCGGCCCAAAACUAAUCUCUAAGCCCAUUAGGGUUCGCUAGUGGGGCACCACCCACUACCACCUCAGGUAGUGGUGGUCAAUGGCGGCACGCGGCGGCGGCCACCAGCUUACGGUGGUGGUUAUGGUUCUUUUCAUUACAUUUUCUACUAAUUACAAUUACAAGUUUUUAAUCCACAAAUAAACACACACAUACUAACUACUCUAACACACACACACACAACCACUCUAGUGGUGGCCGGCGGCGGUACAAGGCGGCAGCCACCAGCUCACGGUGGUGGUGGUGGCUUUUCACAUGAACUCCAGCUAGACAAAACACACACACACUUCAGAUUGCAUACAACACUCUAGCCACCCACCUGGUGGCUUAAGGGGACAACAACGAUGGUUUUUGGGAUGGCAGCCACCACCUCACGGUGGUGGUGGUGGUUUCUGUUAAUUCCUAGACAAGCAGCAACACACCCACGAGCAUACAACACUCGAGCCGAUAACACUUCAUUUUCAAUGGAACUACAGCAAUGUCAUCGGAUGGUGGUGGUGGCAGAUCGCAGUUGACGGCGGAACAGGAAGGAAGACGAAGAGGAUGGCAAUCCCAAGUCACGACGGCAGCAGCAACGGCAGACGGCGGGACGNNNNNNNNNNNNNNNNNNNNNNNNNNNNNNNNNNNNNNNNNNNNNNNNNNNNNNNNNNNNNNNNNNNNNNNNNNCGGUUGAGGGGCUUCUAUGGUGAUAGCGACGAUCGGAGGUGAAGGAGGAGGGUGGGGAAAUGGCGAUCGAUGCUUAGGGGGUUGGCGGUUGCAACACAUGCCUUAGGGUUAGGGUUUCACAAGCUAUAUACCCCGACCAAAUAAAAACUUUCCCAUAAUUACAGUUCUGGUCCCUCCCCAUGGGAUCUUUUCAAUUUAAACCCAAUAUUUAUCCUUUUGCACCUUAUUCCAUAAUUUUCUUUCAUCAUAAGUCCUAAUAAUUACCGAACAUAUCCCCGCUUCUAAAAUUCUUCUCAAAUCAACUCUGUAGUUUACUAAACAACCCUCCACUAUCAAAAUUCUUCACAAAUUAAUCCGGGAAUUAAAUUAAUUAAUUUAUUUAAAUAAACGAGGUGUUACAACUCUCCCCCACUUAAAUUAGAUUUUGUCCUCGAAAUCAUUCCUUACCAUUCCUUUCACUUCAAACCACUCUAGUAACAUGGUCACCAUCUUGGGCACACCCUAUCCUUUUUAGGGUAACCGUAACCAACCCUCGUAGGGUUCUAAAAUCCACAGAUAAAUGAAUUCCUCGCAACAAGAUCACAUUUACUCCGUCCGAAAUCUGCUGUCUCGAGAUGGUCUGAAUCCCUGACAGACCGCCCAUACCGAAACACUAUCUCCGAAACCAGUCCACUUGUCUCUUAGCUGCUUACUCAACUUUCGAUAACUCAAGGCUCCCACUAGAGAACAUACUCACAAAUCCUAAUUAUCCCUGAAGAUCACUUAUGCUUGGCUGAGGCUUAGAUAAUCCCGACAUGCUAUUACUGCUUGAGACACUGAGACGGUCUGAAACACCGAUCUGCAUGAAACACUGAACUGCCUGAAACAGUAUGUUGCUACAUGGCUGCUUUCCAAAAUAUAUCGAGACCUUCCUGGUCUCAAUUGAUUCGUCAGUCAUCUGAAAUACCGGGUUCCAGCUCGGUUGUGGAGCCAAAGGGCUCCCUACUUAGUCGCUUCACACAACUCCUGAACGAAAUCCUUCUCUGGAACCAACUGCUACUAGUUAUCUUGUCACUGUGUCCCUAGUGGCCUUCUGAUCUAACUGAUCGAUUCCAUACGUCGGAUCCUGACGUCACCAAACCCAAGGCUAAAAGUGAUUGCUACAUGAUCAUUGGUAGCCUUAUGCCAUGCAGGACCUUAAUCAAUUCACUGCUUCCUUGCUCUCUUAGCUGUAAUGGCGCUUCUAUAGUCUUAUCACUGGAUCAACCAGGGCUAAUUCGUAUGGUUAAUUUCGAAAUCCAAUCCGUGGAUUUCCGUAUCCUCACUACUACACCCGAACUGGUGGGUGCUACUAUUCUUUUCGCGUCCUAACAACGCAUUCACACUAUCUACCAACCUAUUGAAUGCUACGGCUACACCUGUAGACUUACAACACUCUACCACUAUAUGGCUGCUAGUGAAUGCUACGGCUACUCCCGUAGACUUAUAACACUCGAAUACUAUCUGGCUGCUAGUGAAUGCUACGGCUACACCCGCAGACUUACAACACUCUAACACUAUCUGGUUGCUAGUGAAUGCUACAGCUACACCCAUAAAAUUACAACACUCUCCAUAUUGGAUUGACACGCGCUUGACCCGCACUCAACUGAACUCAUGUCCUAACUGGAAUCCCCAACAUGGUUCCCUAAGGCUUGCUGGAAAACAUUACGGGAACGCAGUCUCCUUAUUAGCAAGUUUUUCCGAACUUCUAUCUCACACUAUCCUCAAACCAUACAGCCGCUUGGGCUGUCUUCCUUCCUGAGAAGGAUGUGAAACUCAUCCCAAUUUCAAAACUGCUCCUACUUCUGAAUCCUUGGAUGAUUCUCCCCCACUUUGAUUCAACUAAUGUCUUAGAGCACACAAUACUAGAAGGAUUCUCAAUCCUUCUUACCAUUCUAUGCCCAAUCUGCUGAAAACCACGCUUACGAUUGAUAGUGUUUCAAUACUAGCCAGUCCAAAAGAUCACACCACGUCCAAGAACCUGAAUAAAUUUCCGGUAAUAACCUGCUAGACCUAGGAAGCUUCGAAUCUCAAUUAGAGACCUCAAAAUCUCCCACUGCAUCACGACCUCUAUCUUUUCCGGAUCGACUAGAAUACCCUUCUGAUUGACAAGGUGCCCAAGAAAUUGCACCUCGCGCAACUAGAACUCACAUUUGAAGUACCUUGCAAAAAGUCUCUCCCUCCUCAAAGUCUCUAGCACCUCCCUCAGGUGUUUCUCGUGCUGCUCCCCAGUCUUGGAAUAAACCAAGAUGACGUUGUACUCUCCCAAUCUCGCGAUUUGGGAUAUGAUCUUUCACUAUCCGCUAAUAGUUCUCAGUAUGAAAUUGGCAUAUGACAUUUCUUGGAAGUAUAAUUCAAACACAAACAGAGGAUAAACCAGAGUCACACUUACUCAAACCCCUAGAAUGAAAGACUCUAUCGUGUAUUUUCCCGCAUGUGCUGUACUAAAUCUAACCCUGUUGGUCUCUCAAAAGCUGAUCCAAAAUUUAGGGUCUCCUCCCAAGACCCUUCAAUAUAAGCAACUGAUCUAGUCCUCUCUUACUGAUGUGCUCCAAGCCCAUAUCCCGUUCUCAAGCUCUAGAAGUCAUAUCAUUCAGGGUCUUGCACCCCGAGAUACUCACGAUCUCCUUGCUACCAUUCUACAAUACAUUCUGAUAACUUACCUUCUUUAUUUCCUCAUCUGCUACAUACUAUGGUACCAUAUAAGCUCUUUCCCGAGGCUUGGCAGUGAUCUCUGCCAUAGUCUCAGUCGUCUGGUGGAGAUCUAACAACUCCUGCACCAACUGUUGCGCCUCAAUCGCCUGGGCACACUCUGCCCAGAAUCUGGUCUGAAAGUCAUCCAAUGACAUAGCAUUAACUGCUUCAUCACUCCACUCACUACCAACCUUUUCCUAUCAAUAUCAUACUCUGUCCCUCAGGAGAUAGGAAGUAAGUUGGAUCUUGUCUCCUUUCGGAUAUUUGGGAUUUUGUAUCGACUCAACCGUAUUAGAACCUAACUGAGUUGUAGUCUAGUGCCAAGAGGAGGGAUAUCAAGUUGGAGACCAAGAGGAAGGAUGAGAGGGCGACGUUAGGGGCGGGAUUAUUCAGUGGCCAAGCGGUUCAAGAUUGCCGACUCGAGUCUAGGGUCAGUUUAUAGGAAGAUUUUUUUAGUGUGGCAAGUGCGAAAGGUUUCACAAUGGAAGGUGUCGAUCUUUUGUGUGUUGUAGUUUCCGCAAGGAAGGGCAUUUUGCUACGGAUUGCAUGCAGAGUAUGCGGGUUCAUCUCCAUUGCGGUCAGGAGGGCCACAUCAGAGCUUGUUGUCCCUUUCUCAUUUUCGGCGAGGUGCAAAACCCUACACCCCUAGCUUGAAAGUUACCCGACGGACAUCAUGGGACGGUUGGAGUUUUGGAGACUGAGGGUUGAGUUACUAGUUCUUCGAUUUAGUUGGUUAUAGCAGUGUUGCUAUCAUCUAUAUUUUCUGUUAGAGUUCUAGAAGUUCAGUUGUAAUCUUGAAUGAUCAGUGUAAUGGAAUUGUUUUAAUUAGUUCUGGUUUUAGUUUGAUCUCCUAUUUGCAAAUGGAUUGAUUAUUGUCCUUGAAUUUUUUUUUUCAUGUGUAUUGGAAUUCAUGAAUGUUUUUUGUAGGUUCAGAUUCUCUUGUGUAUCUGGUUGACAGGGAUGGGGAUCAAGUAGUAGAGUUCAAGUGCGUCUGGGACAUGAAGGAUUGUGAAGUUGUCAAAGUCCAUCAUAUUCCAAGUGAGGGAGAGUGGAGACCACAUAGAAGGAAGACCUUAAUUUAAUAAAUAUUUGAAUUAUUUGAUUUAAACCACCAUGUCCCCUGUGUUCGACACCCUUUCUUACCACAACUAUAUUACUUUGUGACUAGGUACACUGCCUAUUUGUGUUUAAGACUAGUUGAGAUUAGAUAUGACUACAUAAAUAAAAAAACAAGUGUAUAAAUAAACACAUCAAGUUUUUGGAGCCGUUGUCGAGGAACGGUUUGAAUUUUGUUCAGAUUUUUAUUUUUUGAUUAAAUUUUGUUUAUAUUUUUGUUGUUAUUUUUAUUUUUUUAGUUUCUAUUUAAAUGGAUACGAUUAAUGCUAUUCUUCAGCAUGAGUUGCAGGAACUUGAUGACCUAUUCGACCCAGAAAAAGAUUUGGAGGAGCUGGAGAGGUUGCUAGCUAAAGACUCAAACGAAGAACAAGAACAAGUUGAAAUGCAGGAACCAUUGGACCCCUAUUUUUCCGAUUUGUGUUUUGAAGCACGGGGUGACGAUUCCAACUUUGGAGAAAAUUCUGUUGUACAAUUCAUUUUUUAUUGGUGUCCAACCGGUUCCAACCCUUGUCAACAUUCUUGGAUUUUAUAGAUUCAAGCUCGACCGACCGAUUUUCGAAAUAAAAAGUCAAAUCUUACAAAUCAGUCCAAAAAGAAUAUUAAAUGUGACGAAUGGAUUUGUCAAUGAGUAGAUUAAUAGUUUAUUAAGUUGGGAGUCCAGCUCAAGUCUUGCACAAAAAGAAGCACUUAUCGGGAGGCAAUCCAACUUUUAAAUUAGUUUGCAUUUUCUUUUCUUUUCUUUUUUCUUUUUUCUAUAUUUUUAAUUUUUAAUUUUUAGUUUUAUUUUGAACAAAACUGCUUUUGAUGAUUCUUAUUUUUGUUGCAAGAGAAUUUUUAGCUAAGAAAUUGUUAAUGGAAAAAAACGUGUGGGGUGGAGUAUUACGAGAAGAAGGCAUGAAGCAUGACACACAAAUAAGAGUGGGGUAUACAUCCGACAUGGAGAAAACCAAGGUAUUGAGCUUUCAAUGCUACAUAUGGGAAGAAACUGAUAUGAGAGACUGGUCGAGAAAUUAGCUACUUCCAGAUUAGUCGAUUCAUUCAAUGAUGAAGAAUUAAGAGUUUUCACGAAGACGGGACACGGGCCUAGCUACCUCGAGAGGCGAAUUUUUAUUACAUCGCGACUACUUUCCUGACAUUUGAAGACCGCGACGUGCCAACGCCUCGAAAACCUAAGGGUUCCUCCGCACAAUUCGCAAUACGCGUUGUAACAAUGAUUUUCUCACAAGUUUUACUUUUUACAAAGACAACACCGUGGCCAACAACUUGCCAAGAUGUGGAAACGCCCCAGUCAAAUUUUUGAGCUAUGAAGAUUAGUUGUCCGCCUACCUUUAUGCCAAGAGUCCACCAAUUUCAUCAAGAAUGUUCAGUUCCAAGAGUGUUCCAGCAGACAAAUUCAAGCUAGUAUCAAUAAGCAACCCACAACAUUCAUCUGAUCUCGCGACUACAUAACCAAAGAGAGUUUGUUCCUUAUCUCCCUCUUUCAUUUUAUAUCUUUUAAUUGUUUUUAUACAAUGAGGGCAUUGUAUAAUUUAAGUGUGGGGUAGGGGAUCAAAUAAAAGGAAAAGAGCAUGCUAGAAAAAAUAUAUAUGCUAGAUUUUUUUAACAAAAUGAAAAUAUACAUAGACUUGAAAAAAUGGUUUAAAAUAGGAAAAUCAAGAAAAAUUUUAAAUUGUGCUUUUGUUAGAACUAAGUUUGCUAGUAUCGUGUGGGAUAAUUUGAUGCAAAUUUAAAGGUUUAGUUAAGCUAAUAGUUAUAGUAUAUUUGUGGCUUCCUAGUUCUAGUGAAAUCAUGAGUUAAAAACACGAACUUGUGUAGUUUGAGGGACAUAAUAUGUUUUGCAUCAUGUACUUGAAAUGUAUCCACUAAAAUUAUGUAGCCAUUGCACUUUAGACUAAUACCUUUAACCAAUAAGGGUUGAGGUUUAGGUCCCUUGCUUAAGCAUAUGUUUUUCUUUUAGGUUUUAUUUUGAGAGAAUAAAAGUGAGAUAUGAAGAAAAUGAAUAAUGUUGUGAUAAAAAAAAGAAAAAAGAAGUUGUCAAAAGUUGUUGAAUAAAUACAAGUUUGCAAAGUAUAAAGAUCUUGAAGAAGUGAAGAAUAAGGAAAAUUGGAAGGGAUUAUUUGAUUUGUAAUUUUCUUUCUAGAUUAUUUUGUCAUAUGUAUGCUUGGGAACUUAACAAAAAUUACAUUGAGGUUAAGAAAGUUUUAUGAGGAUGUAUUUGAAGGGAUGCAUAAAUGAAUGUUGUUCAAAAUAAGUAGGGAAUGUUUAUGAGGAUUGUGAGUACGUAGGACACGGGAAGUAAUUAGGGUCUAGACAAAAAUAUAUGCAUUGAGGAGAGACAUAAUUUGUGAAUUCAAAUUGGUCUAUUCUAUGUGAUGUUGGUUGGAAAAGUUUUGAUAUAGCAUAAUAACAUUCUAGUUUGCUUGAGGACAAGCAAAAUGUUAUAUUUUUAGAUAUAUGAUACUUAAAGAUAAGUGUGAGGUAUUUUAAAAUGUUCAAUUACAAUUAAAAUGAGAGAUGGGAUGCAAAAAGAGGAGAACGGAGCUGAAAAAGACACAAAAAGGAUGUUGUUGGCAGGACCCCGCAUCAGUGUUUUGACCAUAUAUCAUGACUCGUAACUUCGAUUAAAGUGAUUCAAAAUGAUUUAAAAACUAGACAAAAUUUCGGACGACUUUCAUGUUUGAGAAAAAAUGUGAAAUCCAAACACAACGACAUCGUGAUGACCACCACGACAUGGUAAAUGGAAAUUUUGCGAUCGUUGAGCUGACUUGGAGAAUACAGUAUAUCCAUGAAGACCACAACGUUGUUCCUCUUAACCACAUCAUGGUGGCCAGAAUUUGGCAAGUAUAUAUAUAUUCCAGACAUUAGGCCGUUUCCAGAAGGUGGAGGCCUAAGGGUUGCGAUUAUUCACGAGGAAAAGCCCUCUAGAGGUCGAUUUUGAAGCUAGAGAUUCAAUUGGAGCCAGGAUUUGGAGAUUCAAGUGCUAUUGUAUCGAGAUUUCACUUCAAGUUUUCUUGAUGAUCGUGUCUUUGCAUUAUUUUGGUGAUUUUUUUCUACUUUAGUUUACUGAAUAUGGUGUAAAAACCUUUACUUUCACUAGAUAUUGAUGAACCAUUGUUGAUAUGCUAUGAUUUCGUUAGUAGGAUUAACUCAUUUUGGUUUUUACUUGUGUUCAAUUGAUUGCUUUACCUUUCAUAUUAAUGUUAUGAUUUUUAUUGUUUAUUGCUGAGUAUUAUUAGGAUUAGAUGAUCAUUCUAUCUUGAUGUACUUAAUCAUAUGAAUCUAUGAUCAUUAGGUUUGUAUGACUAUGACUUUGAUCAUAAGCCUAAGGUUAAAUAAUAUUAAUCGGUGGCUUUGAUUGCGUUAUAGAGCAUUAGAUAUUCAUGAUACGCUUAGAUUGAUUGUCAUGAUCAUUAAAAGAUAUUACUAGAUCAUAUCGUUCAUAGUUCGAAUACAUUUAAUUAAUUAUGUGGUCACUAAUUGCAUGAUCAUUGUAUUAGUUGUUCAUUAAUUAUUAGUACUAAGAAAUCCAAUCAAGAUAACUAGUCAUAUUACAAUUCGGUAAUCAAUUCAUUAAUCCAUAUUACCUCUAAUAAAUCAAACAUAAAAACUUUGGGGGAUUCGUAUUCUAGUGGAAGUACUUCUUAUCUACUGUUUCCAUUUAGUUCUUUAAUUUCGUUGAUUAAUUAAUUGUUAAAAUAAGUUUAAUUUAGUUUACACAAAAAACCACCAUUUAAUUUACUAUUAUUAAGUUAAUAAAUAUUUGAAUUAUUUGAUCUAAACCAUCAUGUUCCUUGUGUUCGACACCUCUUCUUAACACAACUAUAUUACUUCACGACUAGGUACGCUGCCUAUUUGUGUUUAAGACUAGUGGAGAUUAGAUAUGACUUUAAAAUAAAAAAACGAGUGUAUUAAUAAACACAUUAGAAAUCACUAAGCUUUGUGCUUACACAGUUGAUUAUGUUUUUUUUUAGGUUUAAUCGGUUAUUGUGGGAAGGUGAAGGCGUGAUUGUACAUACUCAUAAAAAACAUUGAGGAUUCCGCAUUUAUUAUAAUACUGUGAUUUUUCAACAAAUGUAAUUUUGAACAAACGGUUUUAUUAACAUGGAUUUUAUAAUUAUGAUGUUUUAUCUUAAGUAGAAAAAAAAUUUGGUUGUGGAAAUGAGACGUUACAGUAAACACAAAAAAAUUAUUUAGGUAGACAGUGAAUCAACCAUACAAAAUCAUGUGACACUCGAUAUGACAUUAUUCUCACAUUGACAUGUCAGUUAACCACACAUGUUCCAUCAACAAAAUAAUCUCACAAGUGACAAAUCAUAUUAACUUAUAUAUUUGCAAUGACGUACCGGUUAACCACACACACUCUAUCAUCAAAAUAUAAAAAAUAUGUGCGUUGUCAUUGGGAACACAUGACUCACGCUUUGAUAUAUAAGACUUGAAUUUUGUUUUAAUAGUUGGUUAAUAUUUUUAAUCUUGAAACAGAAUCAGACCGAACCCUUUCGAUAACUUCAGUCUCAAAAUACAAAAAGGCGGUGAGGGUUUUAAUUGCAAAGCAUUUUAAAAACGACCUCAUUAGGAAUCAUAGAUACCUCCUUAAACCUUUCUUAGAGUAUUAGAAUGCGUGUGCAUUCUCUUGAUUCAAUGAUAGUGUUUUUAUUAAACAUGUGAAGACACAUGUUAUAUUAUUAUAUAUAUAUAUAUAUAUAUAUUAAUUAAUUAUAACAUAUAUUACAUUUAAACCUUUUAAAUUUAUAUUCUUUUCUUUUUAAUUUAAUUCUCUUAUUAAAUUAAGUUCAAGUAUAUUCAAAUUUUAAUUCAAGUUUAAAUAACAUUCAAAUUUUAAACAAUUAAAUAUUCAGAUUUGAAUUCUUAUUAAAUAAUAUCUCAAAUUAAUCAAAAUUUUGAAUAUUCAGAUUUAAGCAACUAAAAUAAUAUUUUAAACAAAGGGCUUAUUCCCAGAUUUUCGAAAUUUGAUCAAAAUCCCAAAUCUGAAAAUCGGCUCAGCAAGUNNNNNNNNNNNNNNNNNNNNNNNNNNNNNNNNUCAUUUGCGACUAGCAUAUUUUUUUUCUAAUUUUUACAAUUUUUUUGCAGUUAAGUAAAACCUAUUAGGCUCUCAUACCAUUGUUAUGUUUUAUUAGCAUCAAUACAUUAUCUUAAGACAGCGGAACCAAUCAAAAGAUAUACCUAAAUAUACAUGCACAAUAGAUCUAGGUUUUACUAGUUAUAGCAACGAACUUUAAAAUUCAACUAGAAAGAAACAUAUUAACAUCUUGAUUGCUCGAUUGGUAUCUCAUACGUGUCAGUGCAUGCAAUGGAUGAAGGAUCCAAAGUAGAACCUCUCUAAUGUAGUCAGACUCACAAACACCAAAAGAAAAAUGAAUAAACCAUAGUCACAUAAUUCGUGGUACGCUUUGGUAUGGGUACGGGUACGUGGUAUGCAAUUCGCUAGGUCCUUGAAAUUCGGUACGAGGGGGGUAGGCUCAUUUCGGUAUGCUCCGGGACGCUCUGGUACGAUGUACCAAAUAUUGUAGUACCAUGUACCAAAUUCAAAACUUAUUAGAUGAACUUAAAACUUGCAGUCAAACUAACAUAAAAAAUUCAAAAUAAAUUACAUCAAAUCCGACAAACAUCAAAAGUCAAAAUAGAAAACAUAAACUUAAAACUUAAAACUCAAACAUGUAACUUAAUCCACUAUUCCAGACCAUAAGUAGACCACCAUUCAAUUGCUUACAUAGUAGACGCAUUCAUUUGAGCUACCGGUAGAGAAUAAAGACUCUUCUUCAUGUUAAAUGUGGCAAACUGUUCUAGCAACAAUCGUUCUUCGUCUCUAUUUUCAGAAACGUGAUUAAAUGCUUCCAUUACACCUUGUAUAACUUCUUUAUCAAGGUUUUGCGCUUUUCUACGAGUUCCACCCGAUGCUAAUGUUUCAAGAUAGCGGCUAUCGUAAAACCGUGGAGUUAAAGAAAAUCCUAAACAGUGUAACGGGAUGCUCAUUUUCUCCCACCUGUUCAAUACAAUUUGUUGUACUUGAGGGAAAUAUGAUGCAUACAUAUUUUCCUUCAUCAAAUCUUGUAUUUCCCCCAACAUAUUAUCCAUAUUUUCAUAAAUUUCGCCCAUUUUCAGGCCUUCACCAUCGCAAAAUUUGAUCAAACGUUAAAUUGGCUUCGUGAUGCGUAAAAUAUUUUCAACUUUGACCCAAAAGUCAUCAUCUAUUAUAUGAUUAACAACAAGAUGUCCAAUUGUUCUAGUGUGUUCAUCGCCAUGUUUCACCCAAUCUCUCCAUGAAUUACAAGCAAUUGUUGUAGAUAGUGUCUCUCUACAACUGAAUAACCUCUUCAACAAAACAUAAUGAGAAACAAAUCAGGUUUUUGCAACCCUUAAAAGCUCCAACUUUGAAGUCUCCCUAAAAAUGGACAAAGCUUGUACAAGAUUAAGAAAAUAUUUGAUAAUCGUUUUCCCCUUUUUAUACGUGUCCUGUAACCAAAUAAACUCGCUUGCAAAAUCUUUAAAAAUAAGGUUUAAGGUAUGAAUACAACAUGGCGACCAAAAAAUAUGCUUGUACAUCUUUUCCACUUCCUUUCCAGCAACUUUAUAAUUGGCAGCAUUGUCUGUCACAACACUAAGAACAUUACUUGGGCCAACAGAAUCAAUCGCUUGGCUUAGAAAAUGAGCAAUUGCUUUACCUGUUUUCUAUACUCCAGAGAAGUCACAGUGGAAUACAUAAACAUAGAACCACGACUGUUUACAGCAAGAACAUUGAGCAAUGGCUUAUGUUUUAUGUUUGACCACUCAUGAGAUACAAUAGAAAUAGCGUGUGAAUACCAUGUUUCUUUAAAGAGUAUCAAGUAUUUCUCAACAUCUCUAACAUAAUCGUCUAGUAAAACAGUUCUUGCUUUCUCACUUGAUGGCGCUUUAUAACCUUCGGGUGCCUUUCUUAACACGUUUACCAUGUCACGGAAUUGAGGAUUCCGCAAAACAUUAAAUGAAAUCCCAUUAGCAUAUAAGGCCCUCACAAUUUUCAAAUCAACUGCACUUCUCUCCAUUAUUGCAAAAUAUUGCUCUAUUGGUUUUUUAGAGCUCAAACUUGGUUUUUUUUUUUGUUAAAACAUAACUUCUUAGGGAUUUAGAGACUCCAAAUUUUUCAGCCUCUUUCACUUUCUUUUGCAACCUUUCAUAAGUUUCUCAGUCUUUUAGUACAACGGGACACAUCUUAAUUUCAGCUUUUUCCGAGUUGAGCACCAAAAAAAUGAGUAUAAAUACGGGUAUAAGAACUAGUGAAUGUUCCAUGACAAUGUUUACAAACCCAUUUUUUAGAACCACUAGGAUUUUUACUACUACCAGCACUAAUAAAAGUAACUUCAUCAUAUAAAGGCUUAGCAUCUACACUUUGUGUUUUUGGCUAUGUACCUUGACUCCCAUAACUUGUCUGAACUUCUGAUUCUAAUUGUGGUUAAUUAUCGUUGUCUAAUUCAUUGCCAAGAUCAACAUAUUGAUCUUCUUCCUCGUGGUAUUAUUGUGAUUGGGAUUAUUGUCCUCCAUCAUCUUCCUAACAGGUAUUAAUACCUCUUUUCUUUCCAAAAACCAUGAUACUUUAAGUUCUAACUGUAAUCGUUACUGGGUUUCGGAUUCAAGAACAAAACCAAACUAUCAAAUUUGAAAUUUGAUGUUCUGGAUUACAAUUGAAUGAAAAAUACGAUGGAAUGGAAGCCUAAUAUAGGCCUAAUUACAGAAUAUGGAAUCAAUUUUGAAAAGUCGCUCAUGAAUUGUUCGGUUACAGAAAAACACAGUCGACACGAUCAACUCUUCAAAUUCCAACCUGUGUUUCAAAUUGAUUGCAGACGUGUUUUGGAAUCAGGCGGUUCGUGAUUGCUACAGCAUCUGGUACGUUCGAAUUGAAUAUUUGGAACAUCAAUUCAAGUUCAUGAAUCGCGACCCAGAGCGUACCUGGUACACGUUCGUAUCGAGUUUUGGUACGAGCGAUUUGGAUCGCAGAUCGCGCCUACCCCAACGAUUUCUGUGACUAUAGAAUAAACCCUAUGCAAGGGUUUAAUCGAAAAUCCCUAACCCUAGGAGAAAGGUUGGAAAUUUCAUAUAUGGAGAGUGACAAAGAUAGAGGUGGGACGAUUUUAAGAGAGAAAUCAAUCACUCUAAGGUUUACCCCUAAUACUCUAUUUAUAGAUGCAUAUACAAUCCUAAAAUGAUUUAAACUCUUAAGGUUAAUCUUUAUCUAAUUCAAACCUUCCUUAUCCCGCCUUAUCCCUAUCAGAGAGCUAGCCAAAACUAUCAACCUCUAUGCUAUGCUCUGAGAGCUUCUACAAUAUUCAAAUUAAUCUCUAAGAAUUAAUUAAUAUUCACAUUCUUUAAUUAAUUAAAAUAGUUUAACUAAUUCCAAAAUAAUUUCAAAUUAAUUUAUUAUUUCCUAAAUAAAUUAAUAACUUAGUUUUCUCUAUUUGCUUAUUGUUAUUUGGAUCAUGAGUCAAUCCAAAAUAAUCAUAUUCUUAUUAGAAAUAUUAUUAAAAUAGUUAAUAACCUUGAACACUAUCUCCACCAUUUCUUUAACUUGAGUUUGGAUUAUAAUAAAAAAAAAUCUUUCUAAUUUCAAGUUACUAAGAAAAUAUGAUGUAUUUUAUAUAAAAAAAAUUAGGAUGUUACCGUCUUGAGCCCAUUAAACCAGUCGAUAAAGUUUAGGUCAACGAAUAUUAUAAAUGAAUCUCUUAAUACCAAUUGUAACUCUAAGACAGGAACAUGACAUUGUAAAUGCACUAAAUACAUAAAAAUCGUAUAGCACUAAAUAUCAAACAAAAGAACUCUUUAGUUUUGCAUGUAGAUGUAGCUUGAUUACUCUAAUCAAAUGAACUAUGUUAAAUCCUUGUGUUCUUCGNGAGGAUGUAGCUUAAUUACUCUAAUCAUGUCAACCAGGUUAAAUCCUUGUGCUGUUUGUUAUUCUUCAACGUCUUUAUCAUUGUUCUUGUGUUUGUCGAAGUACUUAAUUACCUAACAGGAUGAUGACAAAAAUGGAGCAAUUCAGUAUCACAUCAAAUACAACGAAUUGUGAUAGGAGUCAGGAGAGAUCAAUUCCCAAAGGAGAAAUGAACACCGAGCAGGUUACACAGAAGUGACUCCCUAUCCCUACACAGAACAUGCAAUGUCCUUGAAUUUAUACUAAAUUUAACCAACAGAAAUAUAUCGCAAAAAAAUUCUAUAUUAAAAUGUACCUGUUAGUUUGUUAGUCGCAUUUUAUAGCUGCAUAUAGGUAACGAACAAAGAGCAACGAGGCAUUGAAACCCACACUUCCAAGUAUCAAAAAUAUGCCGAAACAGACACAAGCCAUAUAGCCGAAGAAAAAGGAGGUUUGCAUGAAACCAUUCAUGUCUGAUCUCUCAAAAUAAUAAUAGAUGCAAUAAACAUAUAUAUACAAUCCAGUAGAGCCUCCACACAGAAAUGACCUGUGUCAAUUAAAAAACUCUUAUUAGUUAUUACUUAUAACUUAUUAGCUCAUGCAUAUAGCAAUUCAAGACCAUAAUCAGUAAUCACACCAAGUAAAUAUUUAAACGUACCUCCACCACCAUUGAUGAUCUUCAGCAGCAAGCUGGAAGUAUGUCAGUGCCACAGAAACUAAAGCAGUCAUGAUGAGAAGAAGAAAGAAGACUAUCGACACAAUACUAUAAAGUGUGUAAAUGCGAUGUCCCCAAACACUUGCAAAUAUGUAAUACAACUGAAUAUAGAUAACACUGAAAGGCAAAAUUCCUGCUAAAGCCAUCUGAGGAAGAACACCCCUAUACCAACGCAGCUUAGGAACCUCUCUAGGAAUUUUAGCAGUUUUGCAGGGAGCUUGGAAUUCAGACAUUCUUGUUUUCCCAAUAAUGCCUCCUAAAAGAUGCAAUGGUGAUGCUAUGAAUAUCCACAAGAGAGAUAACAUGACUAUUGCUCUCAAUGGUAAUGCAGUAGUUGAUCCAUAAAAUGUCGCAACAAUGUCUAGGAAAGUAAAAGUAACAAAGAUUGGCCCAAAAUAUAAUACUCCUGUGAGUAUUAGGUUCUUCAUCUGUCAAGGCGAAAAAAAAAGAGAGAGACAAUCAGUUUAAGUGAAUAAAAAUUCCUCAAAAUCAUGUGUUAAACUAAGUUUUGAUAUUUUCACAUACCCAGUUUGUUCCUUCGAGUUUAAAAUAGAAGGAAACAGAAGUAUAUCCUGAGACCAAAGAUGUUAGUGCAUAUAAAAUGAUAAGUGUUUUCCAGAGUACUCCUCGCAUAUAGGGCUGAAAAACACCUAGGAGGCCUAGAGCAAGAAAUGCUACGAUACUGCAAUUGUGACAAAAGAAUAGUUACAAAAGUAGUAAUUAAAUUUUUUCGAAAAAAAAAAUCAUAUAUUUCACGACAUAUGAAUGUAUUUUUCAAUAUAUGAAUUUGUAUUUCCCAAUAAAAGAUUGUAUUGGGAAAUAUAUUACCAUUUAUAUUCUCAAAAAAUAAUGCUUAAAGGUUUUUUUUAAUGUGGUGGGACCACUCAAAAGGCAAUUUCACAAUUUGCAAUUGGACCUAUUGCGAAAUUAAUAUAUUUUACAUGAGAUGUACCAUUUUAGUAAUUUUUGUUGUUAUAUUUAAAAUAAUAAGAGCACAAGUAGGCAAGCUUCAUGCUUGAGAUGCUUAAUAAAGUUUCAUAUUCUUUGAAGAUACUCACACUACAAGCAACUGGGUUCCAGCACCAAGAGCCGCAGCAAAUAAAGACUUGUGCUGUGGGAAUCUAAAUACAUCACCAUGAACAUUCUUCCAUCCUAUCUCUUCUUGCUUAUUAUAACUCAAUAUAUCCUCUUCCACAUCACCUAAGUUCCUUUCGUUUUUCAUGCAAUGGGAAAACAACAAACGCAACAAAAGAGUUAUUCUAUUUGACAAACAUAACAAACACAAUAACUUGAAUACGCAAACUUAUUUUUUGUGAGUAGAAUCAAUACUUGGAAAUGUCUUUGCGAAGGACUAGCAAGUAAAAUGUGAGUAAGGAAAUGAUGAGAAUGAGGAGUAUGACACUUGAGUAUGUAAUUGAGUGAUGAUGUAUCGACAUGUGGUGAGGUAAAAUGGAAGAACCAAUGUAUUUCUCCAUUCUCCUAUCAAAUGAUUGUUGUGUCAUUUUCCACUGAACUGAGUAUGUGAACUCCACAUCAACUUCCUUGUCUUCAGUAAUGUCUGUAAAUGAAUCUCUAGGCAUUCGGAGAUUGACCUCAAUAACAUGAUCCUUAUUAUAAAAAACUUGGAAAUCAAAAUGUUUGUAAAGGGAAUACUCUGUUUUGAUCCUUCCAUAUCCUUUAUUUCUUAACACUCCAAUAAAAGCCCACAUUGGUAAGUCAUCAUAGUAUAAUUGCAUAUAGUAGUCCUUCGCUAUAGCCCUUUUGAACUUAGAAACAUCUGUUUUACUCAGUGUCUUAUUGCAUAAGACUUCUAAAUCUUUAUCCACAAGGAAUUCAAGCUUAUAUGGAGUUGAAACAAGACGAUCUCCAUUCAACAUCUCUCCUAAAUUAAGCUUCUUCUCUUU
rnacentral:lncRNA from 1 species